UUCGCAAUGCCCGAAAGGGUGAACGAGCGACGCCGCGUGCAGGAUGAAGGACUUCGGUUUGUAAACUGCUUUUCUACGGGAAGAAUACCUGGAUCGUGCAUCUGGGGGAGACGGUACCGUGGGAAUAAGCCUCGGCUAACUCCGUGCCAGCAGCCGCGGUAAGACGGAGGAGGCGAGCGUUGUUCGGAAUUAUUGGGCGUAAAGCGCGUGUAGGCGGAUGGGAACGUCGGCCUUUGAAAGCCCCCGGCUCAACCGGGGAAGCGGAGCCGAAACGACCGAUCUGGAGGGACGUAGGGGGACCUGGAACUUCCGGUGGAGCGGUGAAAUGCGUUGAGAUCGGAAGGAACGCCCGUGGCGAAAGCGAGGUCCUGGACGUCUGCUGACGCUGAGACGCGAAAGCUAGGGGAGCAAACGGGAUUAGAUACCCCGGUAGUCCUAGCCGUAAACGAUGGGCACUAAGUAGAGGGGUUUU
rnacentral:rRNA from 1 species